rnacentral:rRNA from 1 species
GACGAACGCUGGCGGCGUGCUUAACACAUGCAAGUCGAACGGAAAGGCCCUGCUUUUGUGGGGUGCUCGAGUGGCGAACGGGUGAGUAACACGUGAGUAACCUGCCCUUGACUUUGGGAUAACUUCAGGAAACUGGGGCUAAUACCGUAUAGGAGCUCCUGCUGCAUGGUGGGGGUUGGAAAGUUUCGGCGGUUGGGGAUGGACUCGCGGCUUAUCAGCUUGUUGGUGGGGGAGUGGCUUACCAAGGCUUUGACGGGUAGCCGGCAUGAGAGGGUGACCGGCCACAAUGGGACUGAGAUACGGCGCAGACUCCUACGGGAGGCAGCAGUGGGGAAUAUUGCACAAUGGGCGGAAGCCUGAUGCAGCAACGCCGCGUUCGGGAUGACGGCCUUCGGGUUGUAAACCGCUUUCGCCUGUGACGAAGCGUGAGUGACGGUAAUGGGUAAAGAAGCACCGGCUAACUACGUG